rnacentral:sRNA from 2 species
AGCAUUCUUCGUUAGGUGAGGCUACUGUACAGACACAGGCCACUGCCCGGAAAUGUCGAGAGACAGUAACGGGUCAACUGAUAUUACCGAAAUAAGGUUUUAUCUAACGUGGCUGAGAAAUUUUUAUUUCUCUAGCUGUAUUGAGCCAAAACUUGUACGAGUGAAGAAGGCG